GAUAUAGUGAAGUGAAGUGAAAAAGAAUACACAGGAGCAGGAUAUAAACAGAAAAAACAGGUUGGGAAAAGACACUUGGAAACAGCAGCAAGAACAUGUCCAUUCACACCCACAAAAUCCAAUCUUCUCUUACAUUUCUUAGAAAGGGACAAGGGAAUCAUCUGUUCAAGUUCAACAGUUGGAUGUAAAGUCAACGUUGUACAUUACCCAUAAACCAGGGGAAGAAAACUCAACAUUUUUUAUCAACCAUAACCUUCAUGUGUUUGUGAUUCUUAGGCACAUCUAAGUGGUUUCCUGAGCAGCACAGGUAUUGGAACCUGUUUUCCCGUGGAUCAUAUCUCCUGUUUGAUUGCAACGCCUGCCUGCUUUUUCUAUAAAUGAGUUUCAGUGGCUUUAAGCAUAGCUGGAUAAACUUUCAUCACUACCCUCGACCUGGGGAACCACUGGAGUCCACCACAUGGACAAGUUUGUCAUGAUUCACCUCAGAAAGAUGCUGUACAGCAUUGGAGAAGAUUAUUCUGCAAAUUGUCACAUACAGGCACUGAAUUAAAGUAUAUACAGAGGGAAGAAGCAAAAGCUGGCAGUCAUUAGUUGUAAACUGAUGGAAGAGAAUACAGAAGAUUGGAAAGAAAGCAUCUGCUGAACAAAACACAGCUUCUGCACAACAAAGUCCAUUUUCUUCUUGUGACUGGCAGCUGAGGAGCUCAGUUAUUUUUAUACUCUCUUGCCUGGCAUGGCAAUAAAAUAUACUUGGCAUAAAGUCCUUCACAGU